ACAGGCUUAACACAUGCAAGUCGAGGGGCAGCAUGGUCUUAGCUUGCUAAGACUGAUGGCGACCGGCGCACGGGUGAGUAACACGUAUCCAACCUGCCGUCUACUCUUGGACAGCCUUCUGAAAGGAAGAUUAAUACAAGAUGGCAUCAUGAGUCCGCAUGUUCACAUGAUUAAAGGUAUUCCGGUAGACGAUGGGGAUGCGUUCCAUUAGAUAGUAGGCGGGGUAACGGCCCACCUAGUCUUCGAUGGAUAGGGGUUCUGAGAGGAAGGUCCCCCACAUUGGAACUGAGACACGGUCCAAACUCCUACGGGAGGCAGCAGUGAGGAAUAUUGGUCAAUGGGCGAGAGCCUGAACCAGCCAAGUAGCGUGAAGGAUGACUGCCCUAUGGGUUGUAAACUUCUUUUAUAAAGGAAUAAAGUCGGGUAUGUAUACCCGUUUGCAUGUACUUUAUGAAUAAGGAUCGGCUAACUCCGUGCCAGCAGCCGCGGUAAUACGGAGGAUCCGAGCGUUAUCCGGAUUUAUUGGGUUUAAAGGGAGCGUAGAUGGAUGUUUAAGUCAGUUGUGAAAGUUUGCGGCUCAACCGUAAAAUUGCAGUUGAUACUGGAUAUCUUGAGUGCAGUUGAGGCAGGCGGAAUUCGUGGUGUAGCGGUGAAAUGCUUAGAUAUCACGAAGAACUCCGAUUGCGAAGGCAGCCUGCUAAGCUGCAACUGACAUUGAGGC
rnacentral:rRNA from 1 species